rnacentral:piRNA from 1 species
UGGACUUUACCUCAUGUGCUUUUUCCCU